UACGGGGGGGGUAAGCGUUGUUCGGAAUUACUGGGCGUAAAGGGCUCGUAGGCGGCCUUCUAAGUCGAACGUGAAAUCCCCGGGCUCAACCCGGGAACUGCGUCCGAUACUGGAAGGCUUGAAUCCGGGAGAGGGAUGCGGAAUUCCAGGUGUAGCGGUGAAAUGCGUAGAUAUCUGGAGGAACACCGGUGGCGAAGGCGGCAUCCUGGACCGGCAUUGACGCUGAGGCGCGAAAGCCAGGGGAGCAAACGGG
rnacentral:rRNA from 1 species